rnacentral:rRNA from 1 species
UAUAAGAGGUCCAGCCUGCCCAGUGACCAAAAGUUUAACGGCCGCGGUAUUUUAACCGUGCAAAGGUAGCGCAAUCACUUGUCUUUUAAAUAAAGACCUGUAUGAAUGGCCAAACGAGGGCUUAACUGUCUCCCUUAUCAAGUCAGUAAAAUUGAUCUACCCGUGCAGAAGCGGGUAUAAACAUACAAGACGAGAAGACCCUUUGGAGCUUAAGGUAAAAAAUCACCCACGUCAAGCAGCUUAAUAAAGCAACUCCUAAACCUUGUGGAUUAUGAAAUAAUACCUUCGGUUGGGGCGACCAUGGAGAAAAAGAAAACCUCCAAGUGGAAUGAGACCACNCCCUCAAAACUAAGAGAGACAUCUCUAAGCCACAGAACAUCUGACCAUAAAUGAUCCGGCUAACUAACAGCCGAUCAACGAACCAAGUUACCCCAGGGAUAACAGCGCAAUCCUCUCCCAGAGACCAUAUCGACGAGAGGGUUUACGACCUCGAUGUUGGAUCAGGACAUCCUAAUGGUGCAGCCGCUAUUAAGGGUUCGUUUGUUCAACGAUUAAAGUCCUACGUGAUCUG